rnacentral:lncRNA from 1 species
UAAAGACAGUAAAUUUGCCCACAUUCAUAAAAUUGCAAGUAGGCGAUAAUAUAUACCACUCGAACGGUAUAACCCACAACUAUACUAUAAAUAUAUAUAUCAUGUUCGAAAAGAAGCAAUGGAAAUGGCAUCAGGCAGGCGAGCAAGAAGAUGAAGAAAGCUCUAAAGGGAAAUAAGUUUCAUAAGAAAGUUGGGUUCUAAUCGACCACUGAAGUUAAGCUGACAACAGAAAGAAGAACAAGGGGAAGGAAACACGACUUCUAGAGCAAAAAGGGGGCUGGAGGAGGGGAGGGGUCCCCCCUUCCUUCCUUGCAGCAUCCCAUGCGCCUACUUGGAUCUCUGCCUCAUCUUUCGGCGCUUCCUCUUCAGCCUCCUCAUGCGCUUCUUCUUCCACUGCAGAGAAAGAAGGUGCAGCAAAAUGAGGUGCCGCGGUCAGAUCGGGAGAACACGUUGAACUCAUAAUGUCACCCAAAUGGGGGACGUGCUCGGGGGCUCCACAACCCUGGAAGUCAAGAAAAAUUGCGGAGAAAAUGGCGGCUCGGCAUCUCUAAGACAAACAUUACAUUCAUAAAAGAAGAGCGUACGAGGUUCAGUAAGAUUGAAUAUGGGUUAUGAUCGAAGAAGAGUUUCUGCUAAAUAUAAUUGGUUAAAAAAAACAAGAGCACCCAUUUUUCACGAUAUUUUGAAACUACUGGUAUAUUCCCCGAAGAACAUUACUCUGAAAGCAUGUGACAUGGACGAUCACUAUUAAACAGAACAGGGAAUCAAACAGCAUCACACAGUAGGCAAUCAAGAUAUGAACAAAGUCGACAACAGAAGAAAAAAUUGUUUCCAUCAACAAAAAAGGCCCCAAACUAGCAGCACACCAGUACAAACAAGUAGUAAAAGUUGAAGGUUGACGUCGAAACUAGUUCAAGUAGAAAAAUGAAUCUUAAAAGAACACAGGCAUCUUUAAUGGCGACUACAUACCCACCCGGUCAGACAUUAACCGGAUCCACUGAGUUUUCAUAGACAUUAUAGUUUUUGAGAAAGUAUAAUUCGAGCCGUCAAAAUACUUAGCCUAAAAUACCGUAAUAAAAUCCAACUGCAACCUAACACAGAAUAGAACUCCCUCUACAUUUCACACGACCGUUCCUCUUACAAACAAAAAAAAACAUUAUAAAUAUACAAGACGAGAGAACAAACAAGGCUUGCAUCUCCCCGUUCCAUUGUGGCGUAUACAACACACUGACUUCUGAUUCCUGUCCCCAUUAAACAAAGGGUCAUCCGGACGUCGCCUACUUGCAUUUGGUCGCAUAAUAAUAUCCUUCUUAAGAUAUUCAGUUCCGUGUAGAGACCACAGGGUAACACAAAACCAGAAAUGAACGACGCAUGACUGCUUCAAUGUUCUUCGGUCUUAGUUAGAAUAGAUUUAGCAGUUCCAUCAACAAACAAAAACCGAACCAAAUCCAUAAUGAUACGACAAAAAGCAGAUCAUGAGCAUAGUCUCUAACCCAAUAAUGAUCCAAUCGCAGAUGAAAAAAGCAACCACAGGAGAAAAAUCAGACAUCACUAAAACCGGCGACUACGGUAGUCAGUCGAGAAAACAGAUCGAUAUCAGAGAAGUAACAGGUAAAGAGAACGACACAAGGAAGAUCGAUCCGACCUUCGCCCUCAUCGCAACCUCCCCCGACCCUCUCCUGAGACGCCGCCGAGAUCCGCUCGCUCCCUCGUACCACCUCGACCACAACGCGGCGUCUAAGAGCCCCCUCCG